CAACCCUCAAAAGACCAAAGGUCCAAAGGACCUCUGUAUAGACAAAGUUGCUCUUAAGUGCAAGACGUGACUCUCCAUGGACUUAACAGGACUGAACAGAGGUUAUUCAUCACGUCUGUCACUAUGAUUCCACUAGCUACUUAAACUCCAGGCUGCAGUAAACAGUAAGACUUCCUAACACCCUGAGAGUCAUUUAGCAAUCUGCUUUUGUCCAUGUCUUCUUGCCCUGGAGAGCUUAGCAAUUAAGCCAGAAGUAUUUAUUGGGUUCUCCUAGAGUGGCCCAGCAGUACAUUUCAGGAGAAAACAGAUGUGUUCAGCCAACCUCAGGUGCCUUUUGCAUACAAAAGUCCUGCCUGUCUGAGAUUUGGAAAAGAGUUGCGAACUCAUCAGAGGCUGAAGUCAGAAUGUUUUUCAUCAGUGUGCCUGAUCAUCCCAGCCUUUUGACCAUAAAUGAUACAAAAUGGUGGGACUCCAUCUUUGGAAGUACUUUGCUCUUCCCUCAUCCUGAGAGGACAAGGAAAUUGCAAGAUGACUGGUAUAGUAAUAUGUCUGUGUGAUAUGUGCCUUAGCAGACGCAGGCCUGAACUUCCAUCUAGUUCAUUACCCAGCAGCACAACUACUUACAUGCAAGCCGCAGUCCAUUUACUUCUAACUGGGAAUAAUUGAUCCAACUGAAGAGGAGAAAUACGGAAUCUCCGUGUGUCAGCUACAAAGAGACCGCAAUACUUGGCCUUCAGUUCUCUGAUUUCUAUUGCAAUAUAUUAUGCUCCUUAUUAAGGAGAAGAACCAGACAGAUGAAAGAAGGUACAAUUCAUGGUUAGGACACUGAGCUGGAAGUCAUGCAGUCUGGCGAAGCUUCCUCUGUGAACAUGGGAAAGUCACUUGAUUCUCUAUAUCUUCAUUUACUGUACGAUACAGGAUACCCCCUUUCAUGGUAGUUCUGCCUGUCAGCACCAGGUAAAUGUGCCAAAUUAUGUGAUGUGUUACUCAAUAGCAACUCUGUGAGUGCUGGAGGUGAUGUACUGCACCAGGCUACAACACUGACAUAGGAAAACUUGAAAGGUCUAGUUAGAAACACAAUAUGGUAAAGUCAUAUAGGUGUGCCAUCC
ensembl:lncRNA